rnacentral:rRNA from 1 species
CAGCAGCCGCGGUAAGACGAACCGUGCGAACGUUAUUCGGAAUUACUGGGCUUAAAGCGCGUGUAGGCGGGCCGCCACGUCGGUCGCUGAAAUCCCCCGGCUCAACCCUGGACAGGCGGUGGAAACUACCAAGCUGGAGUACGGUAGGGGUAGAGGGAAUUUCCGGUGGAGCGGUGAAAUGCGUUGAGAUCGGAAAGAACACCAACGACGAAAGCACUCUGCUGGGCCGACACUGAUACUGAGAGACGAAAGCUAGGGGAGCAAAUGGGAUUAGAGACCCCAGUAGUCCCUGUCUCUUAUA